GGAUGUGAGGGCGAUCUGGCUGCGACAUCUGUCACCCCAUUGAUCGCCAGGGUUGAUUUGACUGAUCUGGCUGGCUAGGCGGGUGUCCCCCUCCUCCCUCACCGAUCCAUGUGCGUCCCUCCCGAAGCUGCGCGGUCGGUCCAAGAGGACGACCUUCCCCCCCGAGGAGAGGACCGGUCUUCGGUCAAGGGUAUACGAGUAGCUGCGCUCCCCUGCUAGAACCUCCAAACAAGCUCUCAAAAUAAAUAAAAACAUAUACUUGGGUGAGGAUUUAAAAAAAAAAUUGAUGGCUGAGAGUGCAUGAAGGUAAAGAUCCUUGGAGUUAGGA
rfam:Myotis lucifugus cont2.10473, whole genome shotgun sequence.